GGCUCGUAAGUCAGUGGUGAAAUCUCAUAGCUUAACUAUGAAACUGCCAUUGAUACUGCGGGUCUUGAGUAAAGUAAAAGUGGCUGGAAUAAGUAGUGUAGCGGUGAAAUGCAUAGAUAUUACUUAGAACACCAAUUGCGAAGGCAGGUCACUAUGUUUUAACUGACGCUGAUGGACGAAAGCGUGGGGAGCGAACAGGAUUAGAUACCCUGGUAGUCCACGCCGUAAACGAUGCUAACUCGUUUUUGGGUUUUCGGAUUCAGAGACUAAGCGAAAGUGAUAAGUUAGCCACCUGGGGAGUACGUUCGCAAGAAUGAAACUCAAAGGAAUUGACGGGGGCCCGCACAAGCGGUGGAUUAUGUGGUUUAAUUCGAUGAUACGCGAGGAACCUUACCAAGGCUUAAAUGGGAAUUGACAGGUUUAGAAAUAGACUUUCCUUCGGGCAAUUUUCAAGGUGCUGCAUGGUUGUCGUCAGCUCGUGCCGUGAGGUGUUAGGUUAAGUCCUGCAACGAGCGCAACCCCUGUCACUAGUUGCCAUCAUUCAGUUGGGGACUCUAGUGAGACUGCCUACGCAAGUAGAGAGGAAGGUGGGGAUGACGUCAAAUCAUCACGGCCCUUACGCCUUGGGCCACACACGUAAUACAAUGGCCGGUACAGAGGGCAGCUACUAUGCGAAUAGAUGCGAAUCUCGAAAGCCGGUCUCAGUUCGGAUUGGAGUCUGCAACUCGACUCUAUGAAGCUGGAAUCGCUAGUAAUCGCGCAUCAGCCAUGGCGCGGUGAAUACGUU
rnacentral:rRNA from 1 species